AGUUGAGCGGAGAUAUUGGAGCUUGCUUUAUAUAACUUAGCAGCGAACGGGUGAGUAACACGUAGAUAAUCUAUCCUAUACUGGGGGAUAGCCCGAUGAAAGUUGGAUUAAUACCGCAUAUAGCUAUAUAGUUGCAUGAUUAUGUAGUGAAAGAUUUAUUGGUAUAGGAGGAGUCUGCGGCACAUUAGCUAGUAGGUGAGGUAAAGGCUUACCUAGGCGACGAUGUGUAGCCGGUCUGAGAGGAUGAACGGCCACAAUGGAACUGAGACACGGUCCAUACUCCUACGGGAGGCAGCAGUGGGGAAUAUUGCACAAUGGGGGAAACCCUGAUGCAGCAACGCCGCGUGAGUGAAGAAGGUUUUCGGAUUGUAAAGCUCUGUUAGCAGGGAAGAGGAAGGACGGUACCUGCAGAGGAAGCCACGGCUAACUACGUGCCAGCAGCCGCGGUAAUACGUAGGUGGCAAGCGUUGUUCGGAAUAACUGGGCGUAAAGGAUGCGUAGGCGGUUAAACAAGUUAUAUGUUAAAUAUAUAGGCUUAACCUGUAGAAAGCAUAUAAAACUGUUUAACUAGAGUGCAGGAGAGGUAAGUGGAAUUCCUAGUGUAGCGGUGAAAUGCGUAGAGAUUAGGAAGAACACCAGUGGCGAAGGCGACUUACUGGACUGUAACUGACGCUGAGGCAUGAGAGCAUGGGGAGCAAACAGGAUUAGAUACCCUGGUAGUCCAUGCUGUAAA
rnacentral:rRNA from 1 species